AUUGAACGCUGGCGGCAGGCCUAACACAUGCAAGUCGAGCGGUAGAGAGGUGCUUGCAUCUCUUGAGAGCGGCGGACGGGUGAGUAAUGCCUAGGAAUCUGCCUAGUGGUGGGGGAUAACGUUCGGAAACGGACGCUAAUACCGCAUACGUCCUACGGGAGAAAGCGGGGGAUCUUCGGACCUCGCGCCAUUAGAUGAGCCUAGGUCGGAUUAGCUAGUUGGUGAGGUAAUGGCUCACCAAGGCGACGAUCCGUAACUGGUCUGAGAGGAUGAUCAGCCACAUUGGGACUGAGACACGGCCCAAACUCCUACGGGAGGCAGCAGUGGGGAAUUUUGGACAAUGGGCGCAAGCCUGAUCCAGCAAUGCCGCGUGCAGGAUGAAGGCCUUCGGGUUGUAAACUGCUUUUGUACGGAACGAAACGGUGAGCUCUAAUACAGUUUGCUAAUGACGGUACCGUAAGAAUAAGCACCGGCUAACUACGUG
rnacentral:rRNA from 1 species